rnacentral:sRNA from 1 species
UUAUCGGUUUGUUUGAUGUUACAGCCAAGGGUCUGUAGCUCAGGUGGUUAGAGCACCGUCUUGAUAAGGCGGGGGUCGUAGGUUCAAGUCCUACCAGACCCACCAAGUUACGGGCGGCGGAGAGCGAUCUUGCCGUGAACUGGGGGAUUAGCUCAGCUGGGAGAGCACCUGCUUUGCAAGCAGGGGGUCGUCGGUUCGAUCCCGUCAUCCUCCACCAACACCUUGUGGUAGCCAAACGCAAGCAUCGAGAGAUCGGUGUUUGCGUUUGGCAUUGCCAAGACGAGUAGUAACUCGGCUGUUCUUUAACAAUAUGGAAUGUAGUAAAGGUGUCGCGGCGCGUUGAUGAGGCGCGCAAUUUAAACGCGACACUGGGUUGUGAUUGUAUCAACCAGUAUUACGAGUGAUCGAAAGACCGCUUGGAAUACGGCACAACGCGAGAACUCAGCCUAUAGCGAGACAUACUCGUUAUAGGGUCAAGCGAAUAAGUGCAUGUGGUGGAUGCCUUGGCGAUCACAGGCGAUGAAGGACGUAGUAGCUUGCGAAAAGCUGCGGGGAGCUGGCAAACGAGCUUUGAUCCGCAGAUGUCCGAAUGGGGAAACCCGGCCCGUAUGGGUCAUCCCUUGCUGAAUACAUAGGCAAGGGAGGCGAACGCAGUGAACUGAAACAUCUAAGUAGCUGCAGGAAAAGAAAUCAACCGAGAUUCCCAGAGUAGUGGCGAGCGAAAUGGGAACAGCCUUGUACUCUUUAGCAGUAUUGUUAGCGGAACGGAAUGGAAAGUCCGGCCAUAGUGGGUGAUAGCCCCGUACGCGAAAACAGUAUUGUGGAACUAGGUGUACGACAAGUAGGGCGGGACACGUGAAAUCCUGUCUGAAGAUGGGGGGACCAUCCUCCAAGGCUAAAUACUCGUGAUCGACCGAUAGUGAACCAGUACCGUGAGGGAAAGGCGAAAAGAACCCCGGGAGGGGAGUGAAAUAGAUCCUGAAACCGCAUGCAUACAAACAGUCGGAGCCUGGAAACGGGUGACGGCGUACCUUUUGUAUAAUGGGUCAGCGACUUACAUUCAGUGGCAAGCUUAACCGAUUAGGGAAGGCGUAGCGAAAGCGAGUCCGAAUAGGGCGUUCAGUCGCUGGGUGUAGACCCGAAACCAAGUGAUCUAUCCAUGGCCAGGUUGAAGGUGCGGUAACACGUACUGGAGGACCGAACCCACUAACGUUGAAAAGUUAGGGGAUGAGCUGUGGAUAGGGGUGAAAGGCUAAACAAACUUGGAAAUAGCUGGUUCUCUCCGAAAACUAUUUAGGUAGUGCCUCGUGUCUCACCUUCGGGGGUAGAGCACUGUCAUGGUUGGGGGGUCUAUUGCUGAUUACCCCGCCAUAGCAAACUCCGAAUACCGAAGAGUGCAAUCACGGGAGACAGACAUCGGGUGCUAACGUCCGGUGUCAAGAGGGAAACAACCCAGACCGCCAGCUAAGGUCCCUAAGAUUGGCUAA